UACGUAGGGAGUAAGCGUUGUUCGGAAUUACUGGGCGUAAAGGGUGUGUAGGCGGGAACGCAAGUUGGGGGUGAAAUCUACGGGCUCAACUCGUAAACUGCCCUCAAAACUGCGUUUCUUGAGUAUGGGAGAGGAGUCUGGAAUUCCCAGUGUAGGGGUGAAAUCUGUAGAUAUUGGGAAGAACAUCAGUGGCGAAGGCGAGACUCUGGCCUGAUACUGACGCUGAGACACGAAAGCGUGGGGAGCAAACAGGAUUAGAUACCCUGGUAGUCCACGCCCUAAACGUUGUACACUAGAUGUCGGGGGUAUCGAUUCCCCCGGUGCCGAAGCUAACGCAUUAAGUGUACCGCCUGGGGAGUAUGCUCGCAAGGGUGAA
rnacentral:rRNA from 1 species